GCCAGUCGAUGGCCAGCAUGUCGGCAUCUGUUGAUGUGCUCUUCUGCUGGCAUGCUCCCUCGACGUUCUCUCAAUAUCCGGCCGCCUGUGUCUUCUUCUGCUGAUCUGCUCCUCUCCACAUCCAGCGGCUUGUGUGUCUGCCUGAUGAGGUCAGGAAGUGGCUAAGAAGAGAUCCAUGAAGAUUAACAUUCAGUGCUCAAUUUCUGAAGGAAACAGGGAGUGAAAGGCCGUGGAAGAAAACAGGGCUGCCACGAACAUGCUCUUGGCUGUUUGAAAAGAUCCAGCGCAGCUUGAACUUCAAAAAUAACUCCAUUCACUAUGGUUGCAGUUGGGCUUGGGGAAUUUCUCACAAUCAAAAGCAGCUGCUUCAUCUCAUUUAGCCAUUAGGCUGAGCUCCACAGGCUCGCUGCAGGAUCUUAGAGCCUACAAGGCCCUGCUAAGAGUAGCCGCGUUUUCCAGCAUGCAGUAGAUCAGCGAGUGUUUACAUUUGUGUUUGGAAUGCUCAUGAGUCCUUUGGGGCAAAGACUGAGUCAUUAAUCAGAGCUUUCUAUGAACGUAUUGCUGCCCAAGCCUCUGUGAAUGUGAGUACGGCCUUGUCCCCUGAGUGACGCUGAAAGAGAGUGAAGCACAUGUGCUCCAUAGGACUGCCACGGCCACCCCUCUCAUUCACUUUUCCAUUCAGCGCUGAGACUAAGUUUAACUCAUUUUUCUUUUGUUGUGAAAAGAGAAUGCACACAAAAAUUCAAAUGUUACCAAAUCGAUAUCAGCUUCAUUCCUGAAGCCAGCGAGCCCACGAGCCCACCGGGAAGAACGAACAACUCCAGACGUGCCGCCUUAAGAGCUGUAACACUCACCGCGAAGGUCUGCAGCUUCACUCCUGAGCCAGCGAGACCACUAACCCACCAGAAGGAAGAAACUCCGAACAUCAGAAGGAACAAACUCCAGACGCGCCACCUUAAGAGCUGUAACACUCACUGCGAGGGUCCGCGACUUCAUUCUUGAAGUCAGUGAAACCAAGAAUCCACCAAUUCCGGACACACUAUCACCCAUGAAGAGUAGUUACUGUAACAUUGUAGCACACUGCAUUACUCAGGUGUUUGUGGGGUUGCUGAUGUGAACAAACCUGCAUGGCCAGUUGCAUAAAAGUAUAGCACACACGAUUAUGUACAGCCCAUAAUACGUGAUAGUGAUAAUAAAUGACUGUUACUGGUUUAUG
ensembl:lncRNA LINC01447 long intergenic non-protein coding RNA 1447